GUUUGGUUAAGUUAGAAAGGGCGCACGGUGGAUGCCUUGACACUAGGAGUCGAUGAAGGACGGGACUAACGCCGAUAUGCUUCGGGGAGCUGUAAGUAAGCUUUGAUCCGAAGAUUUCCGAAUGGGGAAACCCACUAUACGUAAUGGUAUGGUAUCCUUACCUGAAUACAUAGGGUAUGGAAGACAGACCCAGGGAACUGAAACAUCUAAGUACCUGGAGGAAGAGAAAGCAAAUGCGAUUUCCUGAGUAGCGGCGAGCGAAACGGAACAUAGCCCAAACCAAGAGGCUUGCCUCUUGGGGUUGUAGGACAUUCUAUACGGAGUUACAAAGGAACGAGGUAGACGAAGCGACCUGGAAAGGUCCGUCGUAGAGGGUAACAACCCCGUAGUCGAAACUUCGUUCUCUCUUGAAUGUAUCCUGAGUACGGCGGAACACGUGAAAUUCCGUCGGAAUCUGGGAGGACCAUCUCCCAAGGCUAAAUACUCCCUAGUGAUCGAUAGUGAACCAGUACCGUGAGGGAAAGGUGAAAAGCACCCCGGAAGGGGAGUGAAAGAGAUCCUGAAACCGUGUGCCUACAAAUAGUCAGAGCCCGUUAAUGGGUGAUGGCGUGCCUUUUGUAGAAUGAACCGGCGAGUUACGAUCCCGUGCAAGGUUAAGCUGAAGAGGCGGAGCCGCAGCGAAAGCGAGUCUGAAUAGGGCGUUUAGUACGUGGUCGUAGACCCGAAACCAGGUGAUCUACCCAUGUCCAGGGUGAAGUUCAGGUAACACUGAAUGGAGGCCCGAACCCACGCACGUUGAAAAGUGCGGGGAUGAGGUGUGGGUAGCGGAGAAAUUCCAAUCGAACCUGGAGAUAGCUGGUUCUCCCCGAAAUAGCUUUAGGGCUAGCCUUAAGUGUAAGAGUCUUGGAGGUAGAGCACUGAUUGAACUAGGGGUCCUCAUCGGAUUACCGAAUUCAGUCAAACUCCGAAUGCCAAUGACUUAUCCUUAGGAGUCAGACUGCGAGUGAUAAGAUCCGUAGUCAAGAGGGAAACAGCCCAGAUCGCCAGCUAAGGUCCCAAAGUGUGUAUUAAGUGGAAAAGGAUGUGGAGUUGCUUAGACAACUAGGAUGUUGGCUUAGAAGCAGCCACCAUUUAAAGAGUGCGUAAUAGCUCACUAGUCGAGUGACUCUGCGCCGAAAAUGUACCGGGGCUAAAUACACCACCGAAGCUGCGAAUUGAUACCAAUGGUAUCAGUGGUAGGGGAGCGUUCUAAGUGCAGUGAAGUCAGACCGGAAGGACUGGUGGAGCGCUUAGAAGUGAGAAUGCCGGUAUGAGUAGCGAAAGACGGGUGAGAAUCCCGUCCACCGAAUGCCUAAGGUUUCCUGAGGAAGGCUCGUCCGCUCAGGGUUAGUCAGGACCUAAGCCGAGGCCGACAGGCGUAGGCGAUGGACAACAGGUUGAUAUUCCUGUACCACCUCUUUAUCGUUUGAGCAAUGGAGGGACGCAGAAGGAUAGAAGAAGCGUGCGAUUGGUUGUGCACGUCCAAGCAGUUAGGCUGAUAAGUAGGCAAAUCCGCUUAUCGU
rnacentral:rRNA from 1 species